rnacentral:lncRNA from 1 species
UUUGAAUUCAGCUGAAUCAUCAUCACUAUUGGUAACUUGAGAGAAAUAUCUAAAAGGUGCUCUAACUUGUAUAUUAUACUUCUUACAGAAAGGUACCCAAAACUUGGCAAAUUUAGAAGCUUCCAAAAGACCAUAGAAGGUAAAAACAGAACAGCCAUCAUCAGAAACAUAACAAGCUAGCUUAUUAGCUGGAUAAUCAAGAGCCAAUAGAGACAAAACAGUGUUCAAUGUGAUGAUUGGUGGUUCAAGUACAGGAUCUGCUGUUGUCACAAACAAAUCCACACAUGGAAGCUCAUUCUCAGGUAAUCUAAAAAAAAAAUUGAAAAAAGAAUUAGCAAUACAAAAUCGGUGCAUGACUUCAUGGAAAUGUUGUUAACAGCGACCGGCAUAAACUGCAACAUCAAGAUUAAUUUUGAUAUCAAUCUUGAUGAGUUGCAUCGAUUACAUACACACAGUAAAGACAGUAACUUAUAAGAAUAUCAAAUAUCGUGACGCGAGAGUUUAUAUUGCAUACCGUUGAAGGAGACGGUUUGGAUAUGUUUUGGUAACAGCAGGACUCCAUUUGGUGUUGAGAAGAAUAAUCCAAGUAUAUGUGAACCAAGAUUCACAUGAGAAUGCAAGAAACCAUGGAAUUGUGAAGGUUUUGUUGCUGAUGAUGAAGAAAAUACGGUAACAAAGAAGAGAAAAUAAAAGGAGUAGAAUCAAGAGGUCUAUUGCUCUUUGAAGUGUGCGUUUAAUCCAUAUUUUUUCGUAAAGAAGGAGAUUUUCUUGGUUGACCAUUCUGCAAAUGGUAGAAAGCAAAGAAGAAUAAGAGCAAGAUUAUUAUAUUUGAGAUUCUUUGGAGAACAGAGAAGUGUGCUACUGCUAUAUAUGCUACUAUCUUAAUUAUAGGGUAAGAUUAUAUUUUAAUGGGAAAUGUUAAACUAGUAUCUUGAAAGUUAGUCUAAUCGUGCAUUGGUAAUGAAAAAGUUUGACAUUUUUAAAAAGAGAAACGAUAUUUGUAUCAUAUUUUUCGACAAUUUUCAUAAUAAUUUUCUCUUUUAUAUUUACACCAUAUUUUUAUUUUCUCUCUUUAUUACUUUGAUUUUUGUGUAUAUCUCACUUUCUUUGUAAGUUUAUGGUUGUACCAAAAGUUGUUAUAAAAUUGGUUGUUCAAAUAACACAACUCUUUUAAAAAUAUUUCCUCCGUCUUUAUAUAUAAGCACCUAUUUGAGUAAAAAUUUGUCUAUAAAUAUAAACCCCUUUUUCAAAUUACUAGAUACAUUUAUUAUUUUUUCUUAAACAUAUCCCUUAUUAGCUAGAUACAUUUGACAAAAUGAAAGGUUGCAUGUGAUGACAAGUAGUAAGGUGCAUGGUGUACACAUGGUGUAGUGUAUGAGCAACACAUGUUGUGGUGCAUGCAUUGGAAGGGACACUUGGUGUUUUGCAUGAAAGACAAAUGACAAGUGUUUUCAUGCAUGUAAGACAACUUUGUCUUGCUUCUCCUAUAAAUAGGACCAUGAGCAAGCAUUCACAACACACCGCAAGAGAAAAACAACAAAAAGCAAGAGAGAAAGAGAGCCUUGCUCAAGAGAAAAGUGAUCCUCAUAGAGAGUUUUCUUGUGAGAGAAAUAGUGAGCCAAUUUGUGAGAGUGUUUCUUAUAAAUUGAGAGUCAGAUUGUAAUGAGAUCCACCUAAGAGUGAAGUUGUUGUAUUCUCAUUAUCGUUAUAGUGAAAGUUUAAGAGGCCCAAGGGUCCCGUGGUUUCUCCUUUCUCACAUUGAGAAGGUUUUCCUCGCUAAAAAUCUAUGUGUCUUUACGCAAAGAUUUCAGGUUUUCGCUAGUGCCUAUUUUGAGUUCACGGAGGAGAGAAAUUAUGCAAGUGGUUGACGGCGACAUGUAUUUUAAAAUAGGCUUAAUACAUCAUACGGUCGUAAAGAAAUGAUUAAAGUGAAAAUUUACGACCGUGUUGUAAAUUUUCUUCAUUUGAUCAUACUGUGUUGUAUUUUCUUCAUUUGAUUCCUUAAUUUAUUUAGAGGACCAAAGUGAAAAAAUAAAUAAAUUAAGGAAUCAAAUGAUGUAUUAAUCCUUUAAAAUAAAGGGAGUAUUUUUUAAGUCCAAAAAAGAAAUUUUAUCUUAGAAUUUGUGUAUUAAACAUAUUGAACUUAAAAAAUCAACUUUUCAUACAUUAAAUUUAAAUUUGUAAAUUUUUUCCUUAGUAAGUGCCUUAAGUCUUAAGAUACUUUUUAAGAAGUCCAAAAAGAAGAAAUUUUAUCUUGCGAUUUGUGUAUUCAACACAUUGAAACUUAAAAAAAAACUUUUCAUACUUUAAAUUUGUAAAUUAUUUCCUUAGUAAGUGCCCUUAAGAUACUUUUUAAGUCUAAAAAAGAAAUUUUAUAUUGGAAUUUGUGUAUUCAACACAAUGGAACUUAAGCAAACAACUUUUCACAUAUUCCCUCCGUUUCAAAAUGAGUGUCGUUUAAGAUUUUUACACACAUAUUAAGAAAUACAUUAAUUAAAAGAAAGAGAGAUGUUAUUUUACCAAAUUAUCCUAAUCAACUAUUGGUUUGUUUUUCAUUAAAGAAAAAAUAAUACUUUGAAAGUAGUGUAUAUAAUAUUAAUUGAAGGGUAUAAUUGAAAAGAAAAAGUUAUUGCAUUGAAAACUGAAAGUGACAUUCAUUUUAAAACAAUUUUUUGGGGUAAAAUGAUACUCAUUUUAAAACAGAUGGAGUAUUAAAUUUGUAAAUUAUUUCCUUAGCGAGUGCCCUUAAGAUACUACAUUUGUCCCUAACUAUAAGACUCUUUUGUGUUUUUUCUUUGUUUAUUUUUAUAAGACCCCUUUCAUAUUUCAAUAUACAUUAAUCAUUUCUUUACCACCAUAUCUCUAUUUAUGUUGCAUAUUUUUCUACAAUAUAUAAUAAAUACUUUAUGAAAACAUCCACUAAUUCUCUUUCAUAAAAGGUAAACAUGUAAAACAAUAAAAAUUGUCAACCAAAUUAAUUCUUAAAUCAACUUUCUUAAUUCCCGUGUUUUUCUUAAAAUGACCCUAUAAUUAGGGACGAAGGUAAUAUUUUUUAAAAAAUUUAAAGAAGAAUUUUUUUUAAAAUUUGUGUAUUCAACACGUUGAAAUUUAGAAAAAAACAAUUUUUCAUACAUUAAAUUUGUAAAUUAUUUUAGCAUAUGUUAGCAUGACCCAUAUUUUAAUCCAUCAAUCAUUCCUUAGUACAUUGGUAUUAAAAGAAACUUUUCAAAAACAAUUAAAAUAAGAGUGAUCUAGAGAAAACCUUAACACUCAAACGAUAAAUAAACCUUGGGUAAGCCACAACAUCAAAUAGCAAAUUUUUAUCCAUUGUGCAGUUGUUCUCCUUAUUGUAUUUUAUUUUUUGGGUAGAAUAUUGUAUACCUUUUUUUUUUAGCAAACAUCAUGCUCAUAAGAUAUUAAUAUCGACCGUACCGACUUAAAUUUUUGUCUCUGGUUUUGUACCAUAUAGGCCUCUACAGAUUGUAUUCUCAAAUGACCAAUGUCCCAAUAAGAUAACAUGUGAGAGAGCAGUACAGUCACAAGUAUCUUGGAUAUAAACAUGUAUCUGCGAUAUGUAACUGCAGAGAUUAAUCUUUCAAACUAUAAAUAAUCAUAAACAUUUGACACAAAAUUUGUAGGUAUAAUUUUUUAUUAUUAUUAUUUUAAAAACAUAUUAAUUUAUUUUUCCUCUUUUCUAUCUUUUGUCAAAUGUGUGAGUAUAUUGGAAUAAAGUGUCUAAAUCACUUAAGAAAAAUGCUAGAACACUUCCUUUUCAACGUCCUUUCUUAAGACCAUGACUAGUAUGCGGUUGUAUAUGUUGUUCAAUUAGUGGUGAUAAGGAGUUUGGACAAUUAUUGUUAAUCGUGUCAAGCAAGUUGGCUUAUGUUGGUUCUCAAUCAUCAUUUGUACAAUUAUCAAUCAAUAUAUACUCUACGAAAUAUCUUUGCUCUAACGGCAAUCAACAUGAAAUAAAUUCUUUUUAAAGUCUAACUCAAUUGGCGAUGUCGAUAUUGUUAAGUUAAACACCUUUAUUUGAUUUGAAACUAGAAAUAUUACACUUGUGUGAGUUUGAAGUAGUCCAAUUUUUUUUAAUUGGACCAUCACAUUUUUUCCUUAAAAACCAAUUAAAACAAUGCAUUUUUGGAAAAAAAAUAAAGUUUUGAAAGGAAUUUAAUAUUAGAUUAAAAAUCCCUUCCCCUAAAAAAAACAAUAAGAAUAGAUUAAAAAAAAUCAAGGGCCCAAUUGAAUGAGUUUUUAUUUUUAGUUUUAAAUUCUAUUUUCAAAAACCAUUUUAAAAAAGAAAACAAAAAAAUAAAAUUAUUUGGUGUUCUCAUGUUUUAAAACUGUUUUUCAGAAGAGAAAAUGAAAAAGUUUGUUUGGUAUAUUUAUUUUCAAAAAUUAUUUUGAAAACGUAAGAAAAGAAAACUUGUUUAGCAUAUAUUUUAUUUUAAAUUUUAAAAAAGUUAUUUGUCUCUAUAAAUAGACAAUAUCUGUGGUACAUCUGAAACAAGAAUCUUGAAAUUAUUAACAUCCCAUGUUCUCAAAUCCUUCUCAUUUUCCCAUCCUUUUUAUCUGAUGUACAUCUUUUUUCCUUUCAAUUACAUAGCUAAUAAUUUUAUAUCAAUUCAAUUAGACACUAAACAUUGUAGAGAAUCAUCUUUAUCACUAGUCAUUCCAACUGACUUUUUUUUAAACAAAAAAGAGUAGUUAGCAAAGUGCUGUUCUACCAAAAAUAUAUUAUAACAAAAAGCAAAGAACAAAACAAAGGAGGGGGCUAGACCAAACCUCCUUAAUGAGCAACAAACCUAAAGUUAGGCAUCCCUAACUUGUUUUGAACAAAAAAAGAAGUUAGGCUGCUGGGAAUUUGCAUCAAAAUUGAUGGAAGAUUACAAGAUAAACUUAAAUUAACCAAGUGAUCUGUACAUUGGUUUCCCUCCCUAAAUAUGUGUGAGAUAAUAAAAUUCAUAUGAGCUUAGCCCACUUAACUUGGGAAAAUGAUGAUUUUUUGAAAGCAUACGCAUCUUUCUGAGUUAGAUCACCUUUGGGAGAGUGUUUCCAAACUAGUUUGUCUCUCUGAUUACCAGAAGAAAGAGUAACUUGUGAAACAAGGAAUCUCAAGUUGGGGAAGUAUUGAUUCAAAUCUUCUGAUAUAUUCCAAGUGUGAUUAGUAAUGUAGCUAUCCAAUUUCUUAGGUAACAAUUGGACCAAAUGAUCAUGCAAGUUGUAAGUUUGUGGAAGCACCUGUCUACACCAAGAGUCUGACCAGAAAUUUAUCUAUUUUCCAUCACCAACAAUCCAAGAACAAUUAUCCUUGAUAACAUGAAAUUCAGCCUUAACUCCACUCCAAAUAGAUGAGGAGAUGUGAUGAGUGAUGCAUCUGUGAUCUCUAAUAACUCUGCUUCCGAUGAAAAUUGCUUUUCUGACUUCCAGAAGUUCCUAAUAACACAUGGAAAUAUCUAAAAUACCCUGAGCGGUAGUUAACUACCGCUGGUUUUUUUUUUUUUGUCAUUUCCAUAUGUUAUUAGGAACUUCUGAAAGUCAGAAAAGCAAGCGUCGCUUCUGAUUAUGUUUCCCCAUUACUCAUCUUAUUGCAGUAAGUUCCAACACAUCUUCAGGUUAAUAGCCUCAUAGUCAUUCCAACUAACAGUGACUACAAAAGCACUUGUAAUCGAAGAGAAAUCAAAUAAGUAAUGCCAUACUUCAAAAUCAAAACACCUUUAAGUUUGUUGACUAACAAAUGAGAACAAACAAGGAGGUACAAAAAAAAAAACCAAUUCUGAUCCACCAACACCCAUUGCUAUCCAAAUAAUUAAUUAAUUUCCAUGUGGUCAUUUUUCUUUUAGCAUUUUAGCAGAAUAAACGCAACAAGAAUCAACCUUGCUCUAUGAUACAAUGUUAACAAAAGAGAAAAGAGCUAGGGUUUUAAUUAGAGGACUAAAGUUCAAGAAUUACACAAGAGUAUUUAUACUAGAUAUUUGAAAAGACUAAACCACUCCUAGUCCAAUUACAACCAAAUGUCUAUUACAUAUUGUCAAACACUUCGAAUAAGCAUAGAUUAGCGAUGCAAUACUAAGGUGUUACACAUUUAAAUUCUAUAGUUACUUACGGUGUUACACAUUUUGUGUCGAGUAGUUUAGUUCAUUUGAAUUGUCACACUUAUUUAAAGACGGAUAGAGUAAUAUAUAAAAAGUAAAGGAGUCAAUGAGAAAAAUGAGAACAAACUGUACAUAGAAAUCCAUUAAAUCUCAGGAGUAAUAUCAACUUAUACAAGUAAUUCUACAAAAGUGUACAAAAAUUAAAGCAAAAAGUGCUGACUUGAAAAUGGUAGAUAAAGCAAUCCCAUAUUUACCCCUAGCAAACAACCCUUUCAAAAAUGGCCAGUAACAUAUCACUAGAUAUACACUACACAUCAAUUCACCUAUUCCACACUCAUUCCCACUAUGAUCUUCUAAUUGCACCCCCAAAAUCUUAAUAACAAGUGCUGUCAACUGCACAAGCAAAAUGGUUGUGCCAACCACAAAUGCUGGGGACUCAUCAAAUGUGAACCUACCAGCAUUUGCAUCAUCUUCAGCAGCACCAGAAGUUGGACUUUCCUUUUGUGUUACUUCAAAGAUUGUAUCAGAUAUCCCCAUGAGCUUAAGCAUGGCACUCAAAAAUCCUAUAAACCAUACACUUGUUGAUCUUAUUGUAACCAUUCUUUGAUUGUUCCACCAAUAUCUUAACGAAAAUCCUUUUAAUUUAUACUCUUGUAGAGUAUGCAUAGUAUAGAUCACAAAAAGUGUCAAAGGAAUCCAUAGCCCAGCUCCCUGGAAUAAGACAGUGUGAAAAGGAUAAAAAAGUAGUAUAUUAACCUCAUAAUCAAUGAAAUCUUUCGUCGAGAGUUUAACGACUAUACACGACCAAUAAGUUUUACACGUAUAUUAAAUUAUAUAUCACAAUACUAACCUAACCGUUGUUAUAUUAUUUCCAAAAACUGUUAAAAUUAGUCGGAGAUUGGUUAUAAUUAGUUGCAACUUGCAAGUUGGUUAAGCUUAGUUAGGAUCACUAAAUAAAAUUGUAUUCUACACUCACUGUAACCAGCUCGCAACUAACUAGGUACAUUUAACAAACUCCAACUGAUUUUAUGAUUAAAUGCACGUGCAAUAUUUUUAUACUGUCGGUGCAUACAGUUGUUAAGCUCAAUGUUUAAUAUAACCUUGGCAGUAGAAAUUGAAUGUGAAUAUCUAACCUCAGGAAAGAUACUGGUAUUGGUGAUUAUGCAAUAUGCAACUAGGGCUGCAUAAGAAACUUCAAAGACCGAACGCAAACCCCAAUUGGUUAGCCAACAAUAUGACAAGCCUGCCCUGAAUUGGAUUUUACCGAAGAGGGUACCCAUAACAGGAGAAUGCUUGCUAAAGAAGACAACAGUGAGGCCUGAAGACCAUCUCUUUUGUUGGAUCAUUGUAGUGAGUAAUCCUCCGGGAGCGCACCCUGUAAAGGCGGUUGGCUCGGGUGUACAACAUUCUGAUCUCCAACCUUUUCUCUGCAUAUUCAAUCCAGUUGGUACAUCUUCUGAUAUUGAUCCAUAUAACCAGCCCAUCUGAAGUUUCAAAACAUAAUCAAGUUUCAUAUGCAUUUUUUUUUUUAAGUUUGUGUAAUUGCAUAGUCUAAGGCUUAUUAACAAAAUUUAUAUUUUGCAAAUACUGAAAAAUAUACCUGUUUACCCCAACAAGUGCCAUAUUCAUAUUCACAAUCAGAUACUUUGAUUGCUUCCUCAAUAAAAUUGGAAGGACUAUUGCCAUGGGUAGAAUAAUCAUUCCCUUCCAUAACUUGUGUUGCUGAUUUCACAAACUUCUUUGAACUUCCAAAUUGUUGUAUUAGUAUAUUCUCAGCUAAUUUUGCUAGUAAAGAUACAAAAUAGUGAGUUUUCUAGUAUCAUAUAGUAAUCAACUAUUAAUACUAAUACUAUCCUCAUAUAAUAACUCAAGCAUUUUGUAAUUUAAGCAAUUGAUUGUGCUUAGGUAGUUAACGGGUUCUAGUUAAGGACAAAUCAUUCGAGAGAACACGAGUUUGACACCAUAUGUGACACCGCUCUAUCUCUAUCUCUCACUUACUUUUUCAUCUUUCACAACUUACACAGAUUACGCACCAUAUUUUUAUCAAUCGUGUUCAUAUCACAUUCUGAUAAAAUAAAGAUAUACAAUGAAUAAGUGAAUUUCUUGUGAGAGCAAGACCUUUAUUUCCAUGUUGUAUUUCAUUAGGAUAAAAACCGUAAAUAGCAUAUCUUCUGUGGAAGGUGUUUGAUCCUCCAUAGUAUGGUCCUUGAAGUCCUGCCAUGCCCCCUAUCAUGUACUGCAAAAAGCAAUACAUAAUUUGUUCAUAAACACAAAUUUAUAAGAGGUAUGUAGUAAAGUGAGAGAUGCAUUUUAUAGUUGAGAUAAAACCUCAAAUGCAGCCACCCAUUGAUUUCCAAAAGGGUCGUCUUUUAUUCCAUCGUAAAAUUUUUGGAAACAUUGAACAAAAGCAACAUCUUUCCCACUCUUCGAAUCCACCAAAAUGCAAAUAGCAUGUUGCAUAAUCUUGGGAUUGUUCACAACCAUGUCACAGUCUACGUUCAACAUAAAAGGAGCAUUGGUCAUCAAUCCAGAGACUCUUGUCUGCAAAUUCCAAUUAAGAAAGACAAGAAUGAGUCUCUGAAACAUAAGAAUUAGUAUUUCGCAGAACUAAAUAUUGGUCAGCGAAAUUACCAACACAUUCAUAGCUCCCGCUUUGUAAUUGUGUUCAUACUUUGGUCUCUUCUCUCUGGAUAUGUAGAUUAAAUGAGGCAAUCCAUCAGAAAGACCAUCCAAUAUAACCUGUCAACGCAUAAUGUAAGUGUUUUUUGUUUUGUUUGAAUUCAAGCGUGAGACAGUUAGUUUCAUAUCGACUAGGAAUGAACUAAUUGAGAUGACAUGAAUACUCAAACAUUUUAGAAUGCAACAACCAGAAAUACUUGCCAGAAUUUAGGAUGUGUGGAAAUAUUAAAUUAAAUUUUCUACAGGCUAAAAUUUGUUUAAUUGUAAAGCAAGGAAAACAUGUACUCUAUAGAAACAUUUAAUUUACUGCAAUAUUUAUUACCUUAAUUAUACUUGGAUGGUUUCUUUUUUCUGUAUUUGAGAAUACUGCAAAUUCUCCCUCAAAUUGGAAUGAAGCUGAAUUUCGUGUCACAUCUUCAAUUUUGUGGCUAAGAUUGUCAUACAUAUCCUGCAACAAACACAAAAGACAAACCAUUUUGCAGUUCACUAUCCUUAUGUCAUAACAUGUAUAUCAACAAUUGAAGGGGCAAUAUUAUUUUACUUACCUUCAUUUUUAACCAUUCUUGUUUGAAUUCAGCUGAAUCAUCAUCACUAUUGGUAACUUGAGAGAAAUAUCUAAAAGGUGCUCUAACUUGUACAUUAUACUUCUUACAGAAAGGAACCCAAAACUUAGCAAAUUUAGAAGCUUCCAAAAGACCAUAGAAGGUAAAAACAGAACAGCCAUCAUCAGAAACAUAACAAGCUAGCUUAUUAGCUGGAUAAUCAAGUGCCAAUAGAGACAAAAC